UUUCAUUUUUUUUUGUCAGUAUCGUUAUGUUUUCAACUUGUUUGGCAGAGCUAUAAUGGUUUGUUUUCAACUACCUCCAUCUUAAAUAUAAGUGAAUGUCACUCAAGUUUUAAAUUCUGAUUGUGAUGAUAAUGGACGCAUUUAAAUAUAAUGGUUUGUUUUCUAAUGGAUCAUAUGAAAUGACUUUUUUUUCUUCCCCAAAUUUCACCACAGGAACCAAAGGUGGUUGAUCUUGCUCGAUUCCUGACUAAAAGUGGGACCUGUAUGUAAGGAGCAGAAAGCUAAAGUUACCUAAACUCCACAGCUAAACUUACUUCAACUUCACUAAAAAACAUGUAUUUGAUCUUUUCUUUGCGGUUGAAUCUCUCUUAAUCAAUUAGUAGGUCCUUUUGCACCUCAUAGAUAGGAUUCAUACUAAUUAUAAUUUUCUGGUGAUUGUUUAGCUGAUCAAGAUGGAGGCUGAUAUCCUCCUAUCUCUGAAAUUUGAAAUGGGAAAUCUCAAUGUUGCUACAUCCUUGAGAAAAUUCAUUGAUCUUGCUCAAGGGAGUUACUACAAAGUUCUUAUUUUGCCAAGGGCAGAUCAUUGGAGUUCCUGUAGCUUUGCAUCUAUUCAAGGUUUAUAGAACAUACCUAAUGAGAAAAUUAGUAUAGUAGUUACUAUACUUUGUAAAUUUCUUUGUAGUUGAUUCUCCUUAGAUCGGAUCUUAAUUAGUAUACAUAUUGUAAUAGUGUAUUUUGGUAACUAA